CGUAGGCAGCAAGCGUUGUUCGGAAUUACUGGGCGUAAAGGGUGCGUAGGCGGCUUUUUAAGUUUGGUGUGAAAUCUCCCGGCUCAACUGGGAGGUGCGCCGAAUACUGAGAAGCUAGAGUGUGGGAGAGGAAAGUGGAAUUCCUGGUGUAGCGGUGAAAUGCGUAGAUAUCAGGAGGAACACCGGUGGUGUAAACGGCUUUCUGGACCAUAACUGACGCUGAUGCACGAAAGCGUGGGUAGCAAACAGGAUUAGAUACCCUGGUAGUCCACGCCCUAAACGAUGCAUAUUUGGUGUGGGCCAUUCAUUUGGUCCGUGCCGGAGCUAACGCGUUAAAUAUGCCGCCUGGGGAGUACAGUCGCAAGGCUG
rnacentral:rRNA from 1 species